rnacentral:rRNA from 1 species
AGUCGAGCGGACAGAUGGGAGCUUGCUCCCUGAUGUUAGCGGCGGACGGGUGAGUAACACGUGGGUAACCUGCCUGUAAGACUGGGAUAACUCCGGGAAACCGGGGCUAAUACCGGAUGCUUGUUUGAACCGCAUGGUUCAAACAUAAAAGGUGGCUUCGGCUACCACUUACAGAUGGACCCGCGGCGCAUUAGCUAGUUGGUGAGGUAAUGGCUCACCAAGGCAACGAUGCGUAGCCGACCUGAGAGGGUGAUCGGCCACACUGGGACUGAGACACGGCCCAGACUCCUACGGGAGGCAGCAGUAGGGAAUCUUCCGCAAUGGACGAAAGUCUGACGGAGCAACGCCGCGUGAGUGAUGAAGGUUUUCGGAUCGUAAAGCUCUGUUGUUAGGGAAGAACAAGUGCCGUUCAAAUAGGGCGGCACCUUGACGGUACCUAACCAGAAAGCCACGGCUAACUACGUGCCAGCAGCCGCGGUAAUACGUAGGUGGCAAGCGUUGUCCGGAAUUUAUUGGGCGUAAGGGCUCGC